CUUCGGGGGGACGCUUGCCACUUUGUGGUUCAUGACUGGGGUGAAGUCGUAACAAGGUAGCGCUAGGGGAACCUGGCGCUGGAUCACCUCCUUACUUCGGGGGGACGCUUGCCACUUUGUGGUUCAUGACUGGGGUGAAGUCGUAACAAGGUAGCGCUAGGGGAACCUGGCGCUGGAUCACCUCCUUAACGA
rnacentral:rRNA from 1 species